rnacentral:rRNA from 1 species
UACGGGGGGGGCAAGCGUUGUUCGGAAUUACUGGGCGUAAAGCGUGCGCAGGCGGCGCGUUAAGACAGGUGUGAAAGCCCCGAGCUUAACUUGGGAAUUGCGCUUGUGACUGGCGUGCUGGAGUGUGGCAGAGGGAGGUGGAAUUCCACGUGUAGCAGUGAAAUGCGUAGAGAUCUGGAGGAACACCGAUGGCGAAGGCAGCCUUCUGGGCCAACACUGACGCUCAUGCACGAAAGCUAGGGGAGCGAACGGG